ensembl:lincRNA linc-155 ncRNA
CCACUCUCUUCUCCUUCCAUCUCAAAAGUGGAUAAGUUGUCGGUAGUGCAGUUGAAAAACUGAUCGGCAAUGAAAUCGUCGCCUCUAUUGUUUUUAGAAACUAAAUAAAAACAUGUAUUUAAAUACAUUUGUAACGUCACAAAUGUAUUUAAAUACAUUUUGCUACAUUACUUGAAUAACCCCAUUAGAGGAGGAAGCAAAGCAGCAAAUGAUGGACAUCUUUGAUGUUUUUUCAAUCAUGUUUUGGAGGGGAGCCUGGAAUGACUGGACCAUAUCACCUUCCACAAUUGAAGAAAACUCAGAAGAUUUGUCUGAAAAAAAUGUAAAAACUUAUAGGUUGAGCUAGGGUUGGUUAAUAAUUUUUAUUUGAGAACUCAGGCUCCGGAUAGAAGUGUGCGCAUUUUAUGAAAAAAAAACUGAAUGACUUGAAAGCAGAAAUAAGUAAUUUUCAAGCAGAAAAUGAUGAUUUGAUAGCUAAGAUUGAAGCGCAAAAAAAGAUAAAAAACAAUAGCGUUCUCCAAUUUGUAUAUGACUACAUUUUUCAAAUAAUGAUUAUCAUACCCGAACAUUUCAAUUGGCUCAAUACAUAUGAUGUAAACAAAUAAAGACAAUUCCAGUUAAUCUUCGCCAACUUUUUAGUGUUCGAAUUUCAAAUUUUUUCAGUGAAAAACAAUAUAUUAGAAACAAAAAUAAUUCAAAUAUAUAAUUUUUUUU